rnacentral:rRNA from 1 species
UACGAAGGGGGCGAGCGUUGUUCGGAUUUACUGGGCGUAAAGGGCGCGUAGGCGGCGGACCAAGUCGAGUGUGAAAGCCCCGGGCUCAACCUCGGAACUGCCUUCGAUACUGCGGGUCUCGAGUCCGGGAGAGGUGAGUGGAAUUCCUAGUGUAGAGGUGAAAUUCGUAGAUAUUAGGAAGAACACCGGUGGCGAAGGCGGCUAUCUAGACCGACAUUGACGCUGAGGCGCGAAAGCGUGGGGAGCAAACAGG